rnacentral:rRNA from 1 species
UGACCUCAAAUCAGGUAGGACUACCCGCUGAACUUAAGCAUAUCAAUAAGCGGAGGAAAAGAAACUAACAAGGAUUCCCCUAGUAACUGCGAGUGAAGCGGGAAGAGCUCAAAUUUUGAAUCUG